UGUCUCAUAGGAGGAGGGAACAAGUUACUCUGACUUAAUUUUCCUCACUCACAGAGUGCCUGUGUUUGCAAGCUGGAAAGACUCCUCGAAAUCUCCUUUACUUUCACUCACUGCGUUGCUUCCUGUCAUUUAACUAAAAGAGGAAAGGUUAAAGGACUCACUAAAGUUUCCAGCAUAUUUUCUGUGUUUUCACUACAAAGUGACAACACUUAGGCCAUAGAAAUCCUCUUAACAGCGAAUUUUAAAUGAGUUUGGAUGAAAAGGAUAGUCAAUAAAUAAAAAACCUAGGUCUUGUUCUGGCUCCUUAUCUCUGCGCUUCUGAUCUGCUGUCCUUGUGCCAUAAAUCUUAACUUUGUGCCUCCGUUUCUCCUAUUAUUUUAAAAGGAGAGGAGUCAAGAUGAGGGAAGAUAAAUAAGCGGAAUCAAAGCUCUACAAUUUUGCAAGUAAUUCCACGCAGAAGCCAAUGAAACACACGUUCCUGAGACUAUCACUGCCAUGGAUAAGUUUGCUGUUGCUGUCAGCCAGUGCAAUUUCCCUAAUUAACCUGUAAAAAGUGUUCUCCUUCGAUGAAGGCUGUUCAGAAAUUAACUGAUAUUGUACAAGAAGACAACAGCAGGUUCCAGAAUGUGAAUUCUUGGUGAUUUUAAAUGAUGAUGUAUGAAAGAGACAGAAAGGAAGAACAAUUCGAUUUGCUCCAGCCAGUUUGGCCCAGAAAGAAGAGCAGAAAAAUUGCUUUGCCUAAGCAAACAUGACAUGAAGUCAUACAAGAGCAGCAUUCACAAUGUACAAUAUCGAAGCCUCAUUUAAAAUACAUAUUGCCUGGAUCUGAAAGACAUCUAGAUGCCAGUAGUAAAAAGUUUUUGCUCAUUCUGUUUCUUUAUUGCCACUUUUCUCCUAUUCCUUGGCAACAACUUCUGUAUCCUCCUUUGAGACACUGCCUUCAGAUUUGGGGUGGGAUCCUUUGCUCUGGUUGAACGAUGAUUGAACUCAAAGUUCAAGUAAGCUCUGUUGGCAUCCGAUGCUGAAAAUAAACCUGACCGAAAAAGGAUGAUGGUUUUUUAGGACAACGUAGAUACCCCCUCUCUAACGAGGACUUAGAUUUCUCGUAGGAUUCUAAAAUUUUUUUUUUGUUAAAGUUAGUUCUUUCAAAAGACCAUAGAAGAGUUUGUUCAUGUGCAGGGCAAUCUUUACAAGAGCAUGGUCUGAUUUAAAUUAUAAUUAUUUUUGCCUGUCAUCCUCUAAAGCAGGGGUGUCCAAUCUUUUGGCUUCCCUGGGCUGCUUUUUGGAAGAAGAGGAAUUGUCUUGGGACACACAUAAGAUAUACUAACACUAAAGACGGCUGAUGAGCUAAAAACAAAUUGCAAAAAAAUCUCAUAAUGUUUUCAGAACGUUUACGAAUUUGUGUUGGGCCACAUUCAAAGCCAUCCUGGGCCACAUGUGGGCCAUGGGCUGUGGGUUGGACAGGUUUGCCCUGAAGUGUUGUGAGUUCUUUGAUUAUGGUCUAGUCACCUACACAUGGUUCAUUUUAG